rnacentral:tRNA from 1 species
GGUUUGUUAGUUUAAUCAAAGAAUUGCGGUUUUGUAAUCCGUAGGUGACUUAUGUCAUAAACCU